UCAGUGUCAAUUAGCUGACACUGUUCACAUUUAUAUACAGUUAUAUUCAUAUAAGGUUCGCUUACACAUGUUUUGCCGUGAAAUGCAACUUAGCACAAAUUAGACACACAUUUAAAUUUUCUGAUAUUCAGUAAUUCUUUGUAAAUAAAUAGUUUAGAUUUUAUUUGUAUACGUGUUAACAUCUCUCUCAGGUUGUCAAUUCUGUGAUUUUGAUUAUCUCAUAAUAGUUGACUUUGCCACAGAAUGUCUUGUAAAUGUGAAAUCUUCGUAGCUAGUAAUCAGUAUUUGAAAGAUUAAAAUUUUGACCCUUUAUGUUUACUUAA
rnacentral:lncRNA from 1 species